UGAACGCUGGCGGCGUGCCUAAUACAUGCACGUCGAGCGAACAGACGAGGAGCUUGCUCCUCUGACGUUAGCGGCGGACGGGUGAGUAACACGUGGAUAACCUACCUAUAAGACUGGGAUAACUUCGGGAAACCGGCGCUAAUACCGGAUAAUAUAUUGCACCGCAUGGUUCAAUAGUGAAAGACGGUUUUGCUGUCACUUAUAGAUGGAUCCGCGCCGCAUUAGCUAGUUGGUAAGGUAACGGCUUACCAAGGCAACGAUGCGUAGCCGACCUGAGAGGGUGAUCGGCCACACUGGAACUGAGACACGGUCCAGACUCCUACGGGAGGCAGCAGUAGGGAAUCUUCCGCAAUGGGCGAAAGCCUGACGGAGCAACGCCGCGUGAGUGAUGAAGGUCUUCGGAUCGUAAAACUCUGUUAUUAGGGAAGAACAAAUGUGUAAGUAACUAUGCACGUCUUGACGGUACCUAAUCAGAAAGCCACGGCUAACUACGUG
rnacentral:rRNA from 1 species